UUGACCUCGGAUCAAGGUAGGGAUACCCGCUGAACUUAA
rnacentral:rRNA from 1 species